UAAGGCAUUUCUUAGAUGAUCU
rnacentral:miRNA from 1 species